rnacentral:rRNA from 1 species
UACGGGGGGUGCGAGCGUUGUCCGGAAUCACUGGGCGUAAAGGGCGCGUAGGUGGUUUGAUAAGGGUGUGGUGAAAGCCCGGGGCUCAACCCCGGGUCUGCCGUGCCGACUGUCAAACUCGAGGGCUGUAGAGGCAGACGGAAUUCCGGGUGUAGCGGUGGAAUGCGUAGAGAUCCGGAGGAACACCAGUGGCGAAGGCGACUUCCUGGCCUGUUCUUGACGCUGAGGCGCGAAAGCUGGGGGAGCAAACGGG